GAUGAACGCUGGCGGCGUGCCUAAUACAUGCAAGUCGAGCGCGAGAGUGAGGAGCUUGCUCCUCAUAAUCGAGCGGCGGACGGGUGAGUAACACGUAGGCAACCUACCCUUGAGAUUGGGAUAACUACCGGAAACGGUAGCUAAUACCGGAUACGACUUUUCCACACAAGUGGAAUGGUUAAAAGGCGGAUUUAUCUGCCGCUCAUGGAUGGGCCUGCGGUGCAUUAGCUAGUUGGUGAGGUAGUGGCUCACCAAGGCGACGAUGCAUAGCCGACCUGAGAGGGUGAUCGGCCACACUGGGACUGAGACACGGCCCAGACUCCUACGGGAGGCAGCAGUAGGGAAUCUUCCGCAAUGGACGCAAGUCUGACGGAGCAACGCCGCGUGAGUGAUGAAGGGUUUCGGCUCGUAAAACUCUGUUGUUAAGGAAGAACACUUUAGGUAGUAACUGGCCUAGAGAUGACGGUACUUAACUAGAAAGCCACGGCUAACUACGUGCCAGCCGCCGCCGUAA
rnacentral:rRNA from 1 species